GGGACGGAGUCUUACCCCACACACAGGGUGGACUCCAUGGCCUGUGGAGGCCGCCGUGAGUCUGGCAGGCUCUG